UGUGUGAAGAAGGCCUUCGGGUUGUAAAGCACUUUCAGUUGUGAGGAAAAGUUAGUAGUUAAUACCUGCUAGCCGUGACGUUAACAACAGAAGAAGCACCGGCUAACUCCGUGCCAGCAGCCGCGGUAAUACGGAGGGUGCGAGCGUUAAUCGGAAUUACUGGGCGUAAAGCGCACGCAGGCGGUUUGUUAAGCUAGAUGUGAAAGCCCCGGGCUCAACCUGGGAUGGUCAUUUAGAACUGGCAGACUAGAGUCUUGGAGAGGGGAGUGGAAUUCCAGGUGUAGCGGUGAAAUGCGUAGAUAUCUGGAGGAACAUCAGUGGCGAAGGCGACUCCCUGGCCAAAGACUGACGCUCAUGUGCGAAAGUGUGGGUAGCGAACAGGAUUAGAUACCCUGGUAGUCCACACCGUAAACGCUGUCUACUAGCUGUUUGUGGCUUUAAGCCGUGAGUAGCGAAGCUAACGCGAUAAGUAGACCGCCUGGGGAGUACGGCCGCAAGGUUAAAACUCAAAUGAAUUGACGGGGGCCCGCACAAGCGGUGGAGCAUGUGGUUUAAUUCGAUGCAACGCGAAGAACCUUACCUACACUUGACAUGCAGAGGACUUUCUAGAGAUAGAUUGGUGCCUUCGGGAACUCUGACACAGGUGCUGCAUGGCUGUCGUCAGCUCGUGUCGUGAGAUGUUGGGUUAAGUCCCGCAACGAGCGCAACCCUUGUCCUUAGUUGCCAGCAUUCAGUUGGGCACUCUAAGGAGACUGCCGGUGACAAACCGGAGGAAGGUGGGGACGACGUCAAGUCAUCAUGGCCCCUUACGUGUAGGGCUACACACGUGCUACAAUGG
rnacentral:rRNA from 1 species